rnacentral:lncRNA from 1 species
GCAAUCAUCGCUCUGCCUGUUGAACACACAGGAGUGAGGAAGCUGUUUCUCAUCAUCUGUCACAAACUCUCGACUUGAGAUGGACUGGACGUGUUUUUGUGAGCUGCUCAUAUGCAUUUCAUACGUUAGUUCAACAAAAUCUCAUUAUAAUGCUCGAGUGACGGUGAAAAAUGAAGGUAUAACCAGGUUUUCUUUUGAAAACAACAAUAAUAUUAAUUUGGUGAAGCUCGUCACCUCUGGUAACAAAAUCAUAUGGGUCGGAGGACACAAGAGCCUCUAUUCCAUCGUCCCAACACAAGCCUCCAGACCCCAUCAGGUGAAUGUGACUCUUUGUAAGAAUGAAAGCAAAGAUUCCGACACUUCUCACUGUUCAGGCAGGAUCUCUCUGCUCAGAGAGGGUGUUGAUAGAAAUCUCCUGUUCAUCUGCAGAUCGCAUGAUGGAAAUACGGAGUGCUGUAACUUGAACUCCAGCUAUUCUCAGAUCAACUGCUUCAUGUCAGAAAAUUAUGAGCCAGAUAUUAAUGAACCGUCAUUACUUGUUGAUAAUAUGCUGUACUUUACCAAAUCUGGGAAGGGAUUGUACAAGAUAAACAAUGACGACAAAAACGACCACAUUUGGCCUCAGUCAAAUGAAGCGGAGCAAACGUACUUGAAGCUGAUCGCUGGUAAAGGCCAACACCGGGACAAAGUUUAUUCCUUCUUCGCAGAGAAACACAAAAGUAGAGACGGAGAAUCUGAGCAGUGGAUUCCACGAGUCUCUCAGAGCUGCAUGAACGACAGAGGCGGCUCAAAGAGUUAUCUUCAGAGCAGCUGGACAUCCAUGAUUUACACCCAUCUGUUCUGUGGCAGAGGAUAUGAAUUCACUCAGAUUAUAGAUGUGGCCACGCUGGAAACGGACGGCGACACCAAAAUUUAUGCGCUUUUCAGAAACUAUUGGUAAGACAAAAACUUCAUCUCAUGCUUUGUAUUUUAGUUGAGCAGUAUGUGUGACUUUAA